UACGUAGGGUGCGAGCGUUUGUCCGGAAUUACUGGGCGUAAAGGGCUCGUAGGCGGCCAACUAAGUCGGACGUGAAAUCCCCAGGCUCAACCUGGGAACUGCGUCCGAUACUGGACGGGCUUGAAUCCGGGAGAGGGAUGCAGAAUUCCAGGUGUAGCGGUGAAAUGCGUAGAUAUCUGGAGGAAUACCGGUGGCGAAGGCGGCAUCUGGAC
rnacentral:rRNA from 1 species